rnacentral:rRNA from 1 species
UACGGAGGGGGCUAGCGUUGUUCGGAAUUACUGGGCGUAAAGCGCGCGUAGGCGGCUUUGUAAGUUAGAGGUGAAAGCCCGGAGCUCAACUCCGGAAUUGCCUUUAAGACUGCAUCGCUAGAAUCAUGGAGAGGUGAGUGGAAUUCCGAGUGUAGAGGUGAAAUUCGUAGAUAUUCGGAAGAACACCAGUGGCGAAGGCGGCUCACUGGUCCGGUACUGACGCUGAGGUGCGAAAGCGUGGGGAGCAAACAGG